rnacentral:rRNA from 1 species
GAUGAACGCUGGCGGCGUGCCUAAUACAUGCAAGUCGAGCGAACGGACGAGAAGCUUGCUUCUCUGAUGUUAGCGGCGGACGGGUGAGUAACACGUGGAUAACCUACCUAUAAGACUGGGAUAACUUCGGGAAACCGGAGCUAAUACCGGAUAAUAUUUUGAACCGCAUGGUUCAAAAGUAAAAGACGGUCUUGCUGUCACUUAUAGAUGGAUCCGCGCUGCAUUAGCUAGUUGGUAAGGUAACGGCUUACCAAGGCAACGAUGCAUAGCCGACCUGAGAGGGGGAUCGGCCACACGGGAACUGAGACACGGUCCAGACUCCUACGGGAGGCAGCAGUAGGGAAUCUGCCGCAAUGGGCGAAAGCCUGACGGAGCAACGCCGCGUGAGUGAUGAAGGUCUUCGGAUCGUAAAACUCUGUUAUUAGGGAAGAACAUAUGUGUAAGUAACUGUGCACAUCUUGACGGUACCUAAUCAGAAAGCCACGGCUAACUACGUG